rnacentral:ncRNA from 1 species
GGAUUAGCAGGGAAUGAAGCCCCUGUUGAGCUUGACUCUAGUCUAGCAUGGUGAAGAGACAUGAGAACAGUGCAAUAAGUAGAAGACCUCUGAUGCUCUCUGGUUCCCUGGGAGGGGUCAGGGUGAGGUCCACCAGCCUCACAGACUACAGUGAAAUGCUACUUAUCAUCAUUUUCCACUGACCCAGGGAGACAGGGGUGGCUUGAGCCAUGAGUGGUUCUCACUUCUGGCACCAAGUGUCUGUCACACAUAUUGUAUGCUAUGGCCCAUUCUGGGAACAGUGCCAUGUUCAUCGUUUGACUGGGGAGUUACACUUGUCAAACAGUAAUGCAGGUGUCCUACAGCAAACUCACAGAUGAAGGAAACUAUCCUUAAAACUUGCGGGGCUGGGGAUUUAGCUCAGUGGCAGAGCGCUUACCUAGGAAGCACAAGGCCCUGGGUUCGGUCCCCAGCUCUGAAAAAAAGAAGCAAAAAAAAAAAAAAACUUGCUGUACCAUGAUUUUCAUUACACAUACAAACCAUGAAAGCAGGGCAUUAAAAUCCUUCUGAAUUUUUGGUUUUUAAGUAGGAAUUGUCAGAAAAGUUACCACAGGAAUAACUGCCUUCUGGAAGGAAAGUGUUCAUAGUAACAGUUUUAUUGACCCUGCAAUGUCUGCUGUCCUUGUGAUUUUGAAGCAGGAUUCACCUAGGGUUGGAUUGUUGACCCAGUAAUAGGGAAUGUGAGCUGGAUUAGAACAUCAUGAGACAGAUUUGAUUACCUACUGAUUAUGUGCAUUUUGCCUUUGAAUCCUGCUCAGUAUGAGAGGAACAAUAUGUUCAGACAUUUGGUGUGUAUACUCCACUGAGAAGACAAUGAGCAAGACUACCACUUGUAGAAUUAUGACUUAAGGCCCCUAAGUUGAUAUUCCACCGAUGCAGGGCUGUAAAAUGGAGCCAAAGACCCUCAGUUAGCCCUGGAUAGCCAGGUCUGGUCUAUACCUGCUGGAGGUGCCAUCGCAUUCCCACAAGGUGGUGGGUCCCUGUUGUGUUGGGGCACAGGUGUCCAGUGUGGAAAGACACUCUUCCUCUGAAACAUCGUGUUCUAAAAUGAGAAAGACUUUUCAUCCAUCAUGCUAAUGCAUGUUUGUGUAGAAUCUGGAGCUAAACCAUUCCAAGAUGACCUGCUUCUGUGACGGGGAUUCAUAUAUAGCAGAACAGUUCACUUACUUUGUCUCUUGAAAGUCAUCCCUCAACACAAGGUUU